rnacentral:rRNA from 1 species
UGGGGAAUAUUGGACAAUGGGGGCAACCCUGAUCCAGCGAUGCCGCGUGAGUGAAGAAGGCCUUCGGGUCGUAAAGCUCUUUAGGUUGGGAAGAAGUUUGGUGGAGGAUAAUUUCAUCAGAUUGACGGUACCGACAGAAUAAGCACCGGCAAACUCUGUGCCAGCAGCCGCGGUAAUACAGAGGGUGCGAGCGUUAAUCGGAGUUACUGGGCGUAAAGGGCGCGUAGGCGGUUUUAUGUGUGUGAUGUGAAAGCCCUGGGCUUAACCUAGGAAGCGCAUCGCAAACUAUAGAGCUAGAGUAUAUGAGAGGGUGGCGGAAUUUCCGGUGUAGCGGUGAAAUGCGUAGAGAUCGGAAGGAACGUCAAUGGCGAAGGCAGCCACCUGGCAUAAUACUGACGCUGAGGCGCGAAAGCGUGGGGAGCGAACAGGAUUAGAUACCCCGGUAGUCC